ensembl:snoRNA
CCUCUCCCCUGAUGACGUGCACUGGGCUCUGAGUCCGUUUGAAGAGAACGUGCAUCUUUGGCCCUGACAAGCCAAAGUUUCUGAGGAGAAA